UACGUAGGGGGCGAGCGUUGUCCGGAGUUACUGGGCGUAAAGGGCACGCAGGCGGUCGCGCAAGUCAGGGGUUACAGCUCCCGGCUCAACUGGGAGAGCGCCUCUGAGACUGCGGUGACUUGAGAGCCAGAGAGGGACACAGAAUUCCGGGUGGAGUGGUGAAAUGCGUAGAUAUCCGGAGGAAUACCAAAGGCGAAGGCAGUGUCCUGGCUGGUAUCUGACGCUGAGGUGCGAAAGCUAGGGGAGCGAACGGG
rnacentral:rRNA from 1 species